rnacentral:rRNA from 1 species
CUUGGUCAUUUAGAGGAAGUAAAAGUCGUAACAAGGUUUCCGUAGGUGAACCUGCGGAAGGAUCAUUAUCGAAAUUAUUGGUGAGGGUUGUAGCUGGCCUUUCGAGGCAUGUGCACGCUCGAGCCCUUAAUCCACUUUACACCUGUGCACUUAAUGUAGGUCGCCCUUAAAAAAGGUGACCUAUGUCUUAUCAUCAACCCAUCGUAUGUCUCAUAGAAUGUAAUCGAUAUCCUCGCCCUAAAAAAGCGUUGAUAAACUUAUACAACUUUCAACAACGGAUCUCUUGGCUCUCGCAUCGAUGAAGAACGCAGCGAAAUGCGAUAGGUAAUGUGAAUUGCAGAUUUUCAGUGAAUCAUCGAAUCUUUGAACGCACCUUGCGCUCCUUGGUAUUCCGAGGAGCAUGCCUGUUUGAGUGUCAUUAAAUUCUCAACUCCAAGGGUUUCACGACCUUUCGGAGAUUGGACUUGGAGGUGCUGGCCGCAUAUUGGUCGGCUCCUCUCAAAUGCAUCAGCGGAAUUCAACCUUUGGCUUCCGGAUGUCAGUGUGAUAAUCAUGUUGCGCUGUCGUUUGAUCCCUCAGAGUCCGCUUAUAAUGGUCUUCGGACAAAAUCAUCAUCAAAUUUGACCUCAAAUCAGGUAGGACUACCCGCUGAACUUAAGCAUAUCAAUAAGCGGAGGA